UAGUCAUAUGCUUGUCUCAAAGAUUAAGCCAUGCAUGUGUAAGUAUAAGUAUUGUACAGCGAAACUGCGAAUGGCUCAUUAAAUCAGUUAUUAUUUACUUGAUAAUCGAAAGCUACAUGGAUAACCGUGACAAAUUACAGCUAAUACAUGCAGUCAGACCUGGUCCAAGGGUCGUAAUUAUUAGUAUUAAACCUCUUCCGCAAGGAGUGUGAUGAAUCAUAAUAAUCGAACGGAUCGCUGAAUUCUGCGAUAAAUCAUUCAAGUUUCUGCCCUAUCAGCUUUGGAUGGUAGUGUAUUGGACUACCAUGGCAGUCACGGGUAACGGAGAAUUAGGGUUCGAUUCCGGAGAGGGAGCCUGAGAAACGGCUACCACAUCUAUGGAAGGCAGCAGGCGCGAAAAUUGCCCAAUCCCGACACGGGGAGGCAGUGACAAGAAAUAACAACUCUUGGAUUUCUAAGAAGUGUAAUGAGGGUAAUUUACAACCCUUACCGAAAGCAAUU
rnacentral:rRNA from 1 species